GGACCCGCACAAGCGGUGGAUGAUGUGGUUUAAUUCGAUGCAACGCGAAAAACCCUACCUACCCUUGACAUGUCAAGAAUUUCGCAGAGAUGUGGAAGUGCUCGAAAGAGAACUUGAACACAGGUGCUGCA
rnacentral:rRNA from 1 species